UACGAAGGGGGCUAGCGUUGCUCGGAAUCACUGGGCGUAAAGCGCACGUAGGCGGCUUGUUAAGUCAGGGGUGAAAUCCCCGGGCUCAACCCGGGAACUGCGUCCGAUACUGGCAGGCUUGAAUUCGGGAGAGGGAUGUGGAAUUCCAGGUGUAGCGGUGAAAUGCGUAGAUAUCUGGAGGAACACCGGUGGCGAAGGCGGCAUCCUGGACCGAUAUUGACGCUGAUGCGCGAAAGCCAGGGGAGCAAACGGG
rnacentral:rRNA from 1 species